rnacentral:rRNA from 1 species
CGUUGAAACACUGCUUCUUGUACGAUCACCGAAGUUAAGCAACGUCGAGCUUGGUCAAUAACUAGAUGGGUGUCCGCUUGGGAAUACCAGGUGCAGU